rnacentral:lncRNA from 1 species
AAGUGCUUAUCUUUACUAUGAAUAGUGAACGAUUUUAGUGGUUUUUUUAUUUUAUAAUUAAAGCACUGCAUUAUUGUUUUACUAUUGAGGUUGAGUAAAUAAAAAAAACUAAAUCAUAUUGUGUUAACAAAUUUUUCAACUACCAGUGACUUUUGCACCCUCUCUCUUAGCUCAAUUUUUAGUUCGGAAACCUUAUUCUGACCGUAGUCCAUAAUAAAAUCAAUAACACUUCCAAUAUAACAGAAUUUCAAUAAACAAUAAGUUCGGCACCUACAAUUCCAUACUAUUUGACAGCUGUUUGGACCAG